AAUCUUUCAAAUAAUCCAUCUUCUUACUAAUAUAAAGAAAAGAGGUGUUUUCAACCGUUCACAGUUAAAUGACCGCGCUACCCCUCUGUAUUUUUCCUCCUCUUCUUUACGUUUUCGUGAUUUCUUACCAACCAAAGGGUAUUUGGUUAUUUGCUGUGUCUUUUCUCCAAAAAUCCAUCGAAGAAAACAAGAAGAACUCGAUCUGCUGAUUCUGAAUUUCUCUCUCAACUGAUCGUAAUCUCAUUGAACCACAUAGUUUACAACAUCACUGUGAUUCCCAAGCUAGGUUGGAGAACAAUUACUCGAUUUCAGUAAUAGCUCAAACUAAUUGCAAAAUCCCCAAAUCUGUUUGUCUCAAAAAAUUGAAAACUUGGGGAUCUUGAAUUGAAGUUUGAGAUUUCAAUUGAAAUCCAGAGUUGAAUCAGAUUAUUGGGUUGUCUGUUGGAGAACAAUUACUCUAUUUCAUUAGUAACUCAAUUGCAAAAUCCCGAAAUCGAUUUGUCUGAAAAAUUUGAAAUCUCGGGGAUUUUGAAUUGAGGUUUGAGAUUUCGAUUAAAAUCCAGAGUUGAAUCGCACGAUUGGGUUGUCCAUUUACACAAGCUGAUGCACUUAUGUUCAUAGGAAACUAAAUCUAGAACUGGGAACUGUGAAUUUCAGUGCGUUUGUUGUUGGUGGUGAGCUGUGGUGAUGGUGGUGGCUAGAAACCAAGAGAGAAUCAGAGAUAGAAAUGAAGGUAUAAUGUUGCUAUGAAUUUAAAUGCUCGAGGAGUUUUUCGACUUAUGACUUCGCAAAAAGGUGCAAGAAACUUCAACUGUUCUUGCAAGUAUCAACUGAAGACAAGGUAGAAUCUUGGCAGAACCAUUUUCCAUCGGGGAUAUCCUAGCAAGGGAACAACUCGCAUCGAAUACCCAUGCAAGAGCUCCACCCUUGCUAGAUAUUGAAGCUGAAAUGAAGUUGGCUUUGCAUUCAAAAGAGACUUUCCAAGAAAAUUUGAAUUGGGUUUAGAAAGGGCGAGGAUACGGUAGGCAGGACACAUAUGUGCUCACUAAGGCCAUGAGAGAAAUGAUGAUCAACAGUAUGAGAGGGGAUAUACCUGUAGCCAUAAUACGUCCGAGUGUCGUUGAAAGUACUUACAAGGAACCUUUUCCAGGAUGGAUGGAAGGAAACAGGAUGAUGGAUCCAAUAGUUUUAUACUAUGGUAAAGGCUUUUAGUUGACCCAAAAAGAGUUCUUGAUGUGGUGCCUCGAAGAGGUAUAGAAAUUAGUUGCUGGAGUCCAUUUGUUGUGCUUGCGAAACAGGGUCUAAUGCUUUAGCAAUUGUUGUGGCAAGAUAUUAUUAAGGUGAUUCUCGAGGUUGGCAGGCCAACAAAUUCUCCACUAUUAUCAUUUUUGAAUCAUAAGAAUUGGCACACAGAGCACAAGUUAUAAAAGUUCUUUUUCUAUGUUUUUUGAUCGAAGCUAUAUCUCUUUGUGGCAAUGGCCGGUAAGGAAGUCUUCACUCCCCUGUUGUAGCCUUAGAAUCAUAGAGUAAGAUAGAAUCAUGUUUGUUGUUGAUAUUAUUGUUUUACUCACUGUAGUAUAUGAACAUUUUGUGUAAAUAGGUAUUGUAGUUGGAAAAUUUAUUGAAUGAAAAUUUAAAACU